rnacentral:rRNA from 1 species
GCAUUAGCUAGUUGGUAAGGUAACGGCUUACCAAGGCGAUGAUGCAUAGCCGAGUUGAGAGACUGAUCGGCCACAAUGGAACUGAGACACGGUCCAUACUCCUACGGGAGGCAGCAGUAGGGAAUCUUCCACAAUGGGCGCAAGCCUGAUGGAGCAACACCGCGUGAGUGAAGAAGGGUUUCGGCUCGUAAAGCUCUGUUGUUGGAGAAGAACGUGCGUGAGAGUAACUGUUCACGCAGUGACGGUAUCCAACCAGAAAGUCACGGCUAACUACGUGCCAGCAGCCGCGGUAAUACGUAGGUGGCAAGCGUUAUCCGGAUUUAUUGGGCGUAAAGCGAGCGCAGGCGGUUGCUUAGGUCUGAUGUGAAAGCCUUCGGCUUAACCGAAGAAGUGCAUCGGAAACCGGGCGACUUGAGUGCAGAAGAGGACAGUGGAACUCCAUGUGUAGCGGUGGAAUGCGUAGAUAUAUGGAAGAACACCAGUGGCGAAGGCGGCUGUCUGGUCUGCAACUGACGCUGAGGCUCGAAAGCAUGGGUAGCGAACAGGAUUAGAUACCCUGGUAGUCCAUGCCGU